rnacentral:rRNA from 1 species
ACAAGCAGCGGAGCGUGUGGUUUAAUUCGAUGUUACACGAAGAACUUACCAGGGUUUGACAUGCAAGUGGUAGGAAGCCGAAAGGUGACCGACCUUCGGGGAGCUUGCACAGGUGCUGCAUGGCUGUCGUCAGCUCGUGUCGUGAGAUGUUCGGUUAAGUCCGCUAACGAGCGCAACCCUCGCUGUGUGUUAUAUGUGUCACACGGGACUGCCGGUCUUAAGCCGGAGGAAGGUGGGAUGAUGUCAAGUCAGCAUGGCCUUUAUAUCCUGGGCUACACACGUGUUACAAUGGCCGGUACAGAGGGCAGCUACCUGUUGACAGGAUGCGAAUCUCGAAAGCCGGUCUCAGUUCGGAUCGGAGUCUGCAACCCGACUCCGUGAAGCUGGAUUCGCUAGUAAUCGCGCAUCAGCCAUGGCGCGGUGAAUACGUUCCCGGGCCUU